UUAGAGAUAGCUGGUCAGUCUUCUGAUGGUCUGGAGGAAAAACUAGACUCUGAUGAUCCUUCUGUGAAAGAACUGGAUGUCAAAGAUCUUGAGGGAGUCGAAGUCAAAGAUUUGGAUGAUGAAGAUCUAGAAAAUUUAAAUUUAGACACAGAGGAUGGCAAGGGUGAUGACCUGGACACUUUAGAUAAUUUGGAAACCAAUGACCCUAACCUGGAUGACCUCUUAAGGUCAGAUGAAUUUGAUAUCAUAGCGUACACAGAUCCAGAACUUGACUUAGGGGAUAAAAAAAGCAUGUUCAAUGAGGAAUUAGACCUUAAUGUUCCAAUUGAUGAUAAGCUAGAUAAUCAGUGUGUAUCUGUUGAACCCAAAAUAAGGGAUCAAGGAGACAAAACUAUGGUUCUUGAAGAUAAGGAUUUGCCACAGAAAAAGUCCAGUGGUAUCAGUGAGAUAAAGACAGAAGCCCUGUCUCCCCACUCUAAAGAAGAACCAGAGAGUGACAUUAAAAACUGCGAUGACAGUAGAGGAGAUGCCGAGAUAGCGUGCUCACAGGCUUCUGGUCAGACCAGUCACAGUGAUCGAGGAAAGCCUUCUCUGCUGACUACUGAUCAAGAGAUGCUUGAGAAAAGAAAUAACCGGGAAAAUGCAGCUCCUGGUGUCUGUGCCAUUCAAGAGUCCACUCCUCUGCCUGCUCAAGACGUGAUGAACUCUUGUGACAUAACAGGAUCGACUCCAGUUCUCUCGAGUUUACUCUCGAAUGAAAAGUGUGAUAGCUCUGACAUUAGGCCUUCAGUGUCUUCCCCACCAACUCUCCCCAUCUCACCAUCCACUCAUGGGUCAAGUUUGCCUCCUACUUUAAUACCACCUGGCCCUCUCUUGGAUAAUACCAUGAAUUCUAAUGUAACAGUGGUC
rnacentral:lncRNA from 1 species